rnacentral:rRNA from 1 species
GGCUCAGGACGAACGCUGGCGGCGUGCCUAAUACAUGCAAGUCUAGCGAACCGAUGGAGUGCUUGCAUUCCUGAGGUUAGCGGCGGACGGGUGAGUAACACGUAGGCAACCUGCCUGUACGACCGGGAUAACUCCGGGAAACCGGAGCUAAUACCGGAUAGGAUGCCGAACCGCAUGGUUCGGCAUGGAAAGGCCUUUGAGCCGCGUACAGAUGGGCCUGCGGCGCAUUAGCUAGUUGGUGGGGUAACGGCCUACCAAGGCGACGAUGCGUAGCCGACCUGAGAGGGUGAACGGCCACACUGGGACUGAGACACGGCCCAGACUCCUACGGGAGGCAGCAGUAGGGAAUCUUCCGCAAUGGACGAAAGUCUGACGGAGCAACGCCGCGUGAGUGAGGAAGGUCUUCGGAUCGUAAAACUCUGUUGUCAGGGAAGAACCGCCGGGAUGACCUCCCGGUCUGACGGUACCUGACGAGAAAGCCCCGGCUAACUACGUGCCAGCAGCCGCGGUAAUACGUAGGGGGCAAGCGUUUGUCCGGAAUUAUUGGGCGUAAAGCGCGCGCAGGCGGCUUCUUAAAGUCAGGUGUGAAAGCCCACGGCUCAACCGUGGAGGGCCAUCUGAAACUGGGGAGCUUGAGUGCAGGAGAGGAGAGCGGGAAUUCCACGUGUAGCGGUUGAAAUGCGUAGAGAUGUGGAAGGAACACCAGGUGGCGAAGGCGGCUCUCUGGCCCUGUAACUGACGCUGAGGCGCGAAAGUCGUGGGGAAGCAACCAGGAUUAAAUACCCCUGUUAGUCCACGCCGUAACCGAUGAGUGCUAGGUGUUGGGGAGGUUCACCUCCUCAGUGCCGCAGCUUACGCAAUAGGCACUCCGCCUGGGGAAGUUACGGCCGCAAGGCUGAAACUCAAAGGAAUUG